rnacentral:rRNA from 1 species
UACGGAGGGGGCUAGCGUUGUUCGGAAUUACUGGGCGUAAAGAGUGUGUAGGCGGUGCUCCAAGUCUGGUGUGAAAUCUCCCGGCUUAACUGGGAGGGUGCAUUAGAAACUGGAAUGCUAGAGGAUGGGAGAGGUAAGCGGAAUUCCUGGUGUAGCGGUGAAAUGCGUAGAUAUCAGGAGGAACACCUGUGGUGUAGACAGCUUACUGGACCAUUUCUGACGCUGAGACACGAAAGCGUGGGUAGCAAACAGG